rnacentral:rRNA from 1 species
UACAGAGGUGGCAAGCGUUGUUCGGAAUUAUUGGGCGUAAAGGGCGCGUAGGCGGUGUGUCGCGUCGGCCGUGAAAACCUGCAGCUUAACUGUGGGCUUGCGGUCGAUACGGGCAUCACUGGAGUUCGGCAGGGGAGACUGGAAUUCCUGGUGUAGCGGUGAAAUGCGCAGAUAUCGGGAGGAACACCUAUGGCGAAGGCAGCUCGCUGGGACGUUACUGACGCUGAGACGCGAAGGCGUGGGGAGCAAACAGG